UACGUAGGGGGCAAGCGUUGUCCGGAUUUAUUGGGCGUAAAGAGCGUGUAGGCGGCCAGACAGGUCCGUUGUGAAAACUAGAGGCUUAACCUCUAGACGUCGAUGGAAACCGUCUGGCUAGAGUCCGGAAGAGGAGAAUGGAAUUCCUGGUGUAGCGGUGAAGUGCGCAGAUAUCAGGAAGAACACCCGUGGCUAAGGCGGUUCUCUAGUACGGUACUGACGCUGAGACGCGAAAGCGUGGGGAGCGAACAGG
rnacentral:rRNA from 1 species